GCCUCCUCCCCCGCCUGGAGCCUGGCGCAGCGGCCUGGGGGCCUCCCUGCGGACUGUGACCCGGCGACUGCGCCUCCGCCGCUCUCCGCCCCCAGCCCUCUCCCGCCAGCGCCCUCCCCGCCCCGCUUCCAGCACGGUCCCUAAAGGCGCGGACGACUCAAGCCGGCAGAGCCGAGCGUAGAGAUCCCCACCUCGCCCCACCGCCCCAGUUUACAGAUGGGUAGACCGAGGCCGGGAGCACCUCGUAACUCCGCAAGGCCACGGGCUAGACAGUGGCAGAGCCGACGUCUCCUGUACGCUCUCCACCCCCACCCCUCUAGAGGGAGUUUAUUUUAUUCCAAUCUAAAAGUUCCCCCCUCCGCCCCCAACCUACCACCCACCCCCAGAUCCGCCGGAAAAGUAAACUGUGGCUGGAGAGGAAUCUGGGGUGUGUGGGGAGCGGGGAGGCAGGGAGCGGGAAGGAUGGAUGUAAUCAGUGGGCCUGAACUUCAUUCCUGCCCACGGGCCAAGAGACCCUUCCCUGCAGAAGUUCCAAACUAGGGGUUCUUAGAACUAGCUUCCCCACUCCCACCUCAACCUUCCCUUAAAAAAAUAAAAAGGCUGGUUUCUUCCGGGCCAGAUCUUGGCCACUUAAAAUGGUCCACUGCCUUCUCUGCUCCCGCCAAGGCCUUUCCUGACUCGGGGCCAACCCUCCCGGUACGACAUGCCCCGGCAACCAAGUCCUGGCCUGGGAGCCCACCCUCAGCCCCACUUCCCAACCGCAGACUAAGGCCAAGAAAGAGGUUAUAUCAUGAACCCAUGACCUGACUCCAGACAAUGAUUUUGCCAUUCCAACUUCAGAGGAAGCUUUGGAAGGAGUUUAAACCAUAAGCUUACCCUCUCAAUCAUCCACUACCCCAAGGACAGAGGUGGGAAAACUCAAAGGCACAGGCUGUACUGAGAAGUUUGAGCAAUGGAGAAGAAAGUGGAGCUCUGACUGACCUUAGCCCACCACAGUCAGGCUCCAAGAGGGGAGAUGGCCUGGGCUGAUGGCUCCCUUUCCUCUGCUGGCCCUUCCCUUUUGGGAAAACCCCCAUGUCAGAAAAGUCUCAAGUCUGUCAGACUGGGAGUCCCCAACUCCCAACCCAAGGAAGCAGCCCUAGGAAAGGAGAGGAUGAGAUUUCCCAAAGCUAUCUCUUACCACUUCCCUCCCCCAAUCUCAUCCCUCCAUCUAUUGGUGAGAAGCCUCCUAAAGUUGGCCUGAGGCUCCUGAGGGACUGGUUCCACCGGAGUCUUUAACCAGGACCCUAUCCUCCUUGGGACCUGCAAUAGAGAUAAGAAUCAGAGUACAAUCCUCAAAUAAUUCCCACAAAUUUGGAGCUGAUUCUUAACUGAAAAGAAAGAAAGAAAGAAAGAAAGAAAGAAAGAAAGAAAGAAAGAAAGAAAGAAAGAAAGAAAGAAAGAAAGAAGAAAGAAAGAAAGAAAAAAGAAAGAAAGAAAGAAAGAAAGAAAGAAAGAAAGAAAGAAAGAAAGCUUUCUGUCCAGAGGAUUCUGCGCUCUGCAAGGAAGACACACCUUGUCUGAGGGUUAGCUUCAUCAGAAAGAGAACUAGGAGGAAUCUGUCUUCCAAGAUGACAUCAUCCAAGCUUGGACAUCAUCUAAGGAGGGGGAUUUAUUUUUGAUAUACAAGACUGAAAAUACUUAAAGCAUGACAUGUAAAAUUAUUGAAAAGAUACUAAGAUGUGAUGAAUUAAGCUUUCUUGAAGUCUUGAGUUGGAAGGAGUGGAGUGAGGGGCAAGUCAUGAAGCACAUAGCAGGACAUAAUUUAAACCAGAUGUCAGAGGUCACUGCUCCUAAAGCCAUUGGCUGGACUGACACAUGGAGAAGAUGCUUCCAGCCAUUCUCUUCUCAGCCUUGCCCAUCCCAGACUCUAUCAGCUCUCUUUCUCAAAUCCCAGGGUUACCCCCAAGGCUGCCUUUCUUGUUUUUUUUUUUUUUUAACUUUUAUUUUAGGGUCAGGAGUCCAUGUGCAGGUUUAUUACCUUGUGUCACAGGGGUUUGGUGUACAGAUUAUUUCAUCAUCCACGUACUAAGCUUAGUAUCCACUAGUUGUUUUUCCUGAUUCCCUCCUUCCUUCCACCCUUCACCCUCAAGUAGGCCCCAGUGUCUGUUCUCCUCUGUGUGUCCAUGUCCAUCAUUUAGCUGGUCUCAAACUCCAAACUGAGAACAUGUGGUAUUUGGUUUUCUGUUCUUGCAUUAGUUUGCUAAGGAUAAUAGCCUCCAGCUUCAUCCAUGUUCCUGCAAAGGGCAUGAUCUCAUUCUUUUUUAUGGCUGCAUAGUAUUCCAUGGUGCAUAUGUAUCACAUUUUCUUUAUUCUGUCUGUCACUGAUGGGCAUUUAGGUUGAUUCCACGUUUUUGCUAUUGUGAAUAGUGCUGCAAUGAACAUAGGCAUGCAUAUGUCUUUAUGAUAGAAUGAUUUAUAUUCUUUUGGAUAUAUACCCAGUAAUGGGAUUGGUGGGUUGAAUGGUACCUCUGUUUUUAUGUCUUUGAGGAAUUGGCACACCGCUUUCCACAAUGGCAGAAGUAAUUUACACUCCCACCAACAGUGUUAAGCAUUCCCUUUUCUCCGCAACCUCACCAGCAUC